rnacentral:misc_RNA from 1 species
UGCAAAAUUCUCCUCCUCCCGACUCGCGGGUGUUUCUUAAAUAAGGCUUUAGCCGGCCUUGUGCUUGUCCCGUUUAUCGAAACUUUUCCCUGGUCAAGCUUUGUCUAUUCAUUUCUAAACCACUUCAAAAACGCGCUUCGCUCAACUCUCAACCGCUUACUUCCUGGUCUUCGUCUCCAAAACUUCUAACUCAAAGCUCCUUUUCUCCCUCUCCGUCGCCGGCAAGUCGUUUUCGCAGAUCCUUCCCUCUCCCGAACGGUGCCGUUUCUCUGCUAAGCUGUCAGAUCCAGGCGAUCUGAAUCUGACUUGUGCGAUUAUCGGCACCGAUCUCCAAUUUUGUUUUUCUUUUUCUGUCUUUUCCAUAUAUGGAGAAUUUGAUUUCUUUGGUUAAUAAAAUACAGAGAGCUUGUACGGCUCUCGGUGAUCACGGUGAAGCAAGCGCAUUGCCUACGCUCUGGGACUCCUUGCCUGCUAUUGCUGUCGUCGGUGGCCAGAGUUCAGGGAAGUCCUCAGUGUUGGAAAGCAUUGUAGGGAAGGACUUUUUACCGCGUGGAUCUGGGAUUGUUACUCGGCGUCCUCUUGUGUUGCAGCUUCAUAAGAGUGAUGAAGGUAGCAGAGACUAUGCAGAGUUCCUUCACCUCCCGAGGAAAAGGUUCACUGAUUUUG